rnacentral:rRNA from 1 species
GAUGAACGCUGGCGGCGUGCCUAAUACAUGCAAGUCGAGCGAAUUGACAGAGGUGCUUGCACCUCUCGAUUUUAGCGGCGGACGGGUGAGUAACACGUGGGUAACCUACCUAUAAGACUGGGAUAACUUCGGGAAACCGGAGCUAAUACCGGAUAAUAUCUAGCUUCGCAUGAAGCAAUAGUGAAAGACGGUUCUGCUGUCACUUAUAGAUGGACCUGCGGUGUAUUAGCUAGUUGGUGAGGUAACGGCUCACCAAGGCAACGAUACAUAGCCGACCUGAGAGGGUGAUCGGCCACCCUGGGACUGAGACAAGGCCAGACUCCUACGGGAGGCAGCAGUAGGGAAUCUUCCGCAAUGGACGAAAGUCUGACGGAGCAACGCCGCGUGAGUGAAGAAGGUUUUCGGAUCGUAAAACUCUGUUGUAAGGGAAGAACAAGUACGUUAGUAACUGAACGUACCUUGACGGUACCUUACCAGAAAGCCACGGCUAACUACGUGCCAGCCGCCGCGGUAAAAC